GAAUACACACCCUAAACGAAGCUUUCAACAGGUGCACUCAGUUACCCACGACGAAGUACACCCGUAAGAAAGACACCACAUACAACCCCUCUCUUCUACCGUGUUGACUUAUGCCUCUAGGCAGACAACUUCUGCGACUCCGUGUUCUUGUAAGUCUUCAACAAACGGAGUACCUAACUACUCCUAUUCUUCUGUCAAUUGUAGUAGUGUCUCGAGACGUGUAGGCCGUCAAACUCCGUCAAGGCAUUCUUCGUGUUAUUUCAGACAUACUUCCGAUACUCUCCUACCCGUUAUGUCUAUAACUGUCCCGACCUUAUAGAUCCGUCAGUCCUUGGUUGGUAAUAAGUAUCCCUAAAUUUCACACUGUUGUAUAAGUAUUUGCCAGUACUACCUGUUCACUUCUAACCGCUGAAACCAGACCGCUGUAAAAACGUAGUUGCCUUUUGCUCUUCAUAGUUUCCGUGUAAUCUCAAAUACCGUGAUCUUGAGAAGUGACCCUUAAUGUUGCUCAACCACCUAUAUAUAAGUAAACCCUACACGUACGAAGUUUACCACUGUACACUUAUAGGUAUGUCACUUACACUUCCGUUCGGUACCUAUAUGUUCUUUUAAAGACUUCCAUAUUUUGGUCGACACGAAAGGUUCCAACUUCUACGUCUUCUCCAAAGUAUCUUUAGACAAACCGAGGCGGUCGACUUUCUGAAACACGUUCACUCGAGAACUUCUUGACAAAGGAGAUCUUUCUGUUCGGAUAGGGUCGCGGAGGAUAAAGUCAGAGGGACCAGAGCUCACACUGAUUUCUACCCGCCGUCAGACGGUCAAAGUACGAUACCUUCCCACUUAAGAGUGAUUUUCCGCUGUACGUACAGUGAUUGGUACAAUUAAAUAGCGAUUCUAAAGGACUGGGGUUACCAACAAAAUUCUUACGGCUCAAGGGCAAGUUACACCUGGUUCUAUGGUCGGAAAGACACCGAGACCUUUACCAGAUGUGAAAACCUGCCACCGCCGCCUCCGUCUCCGAUACCGAGCUAUCGCUCUGCUCAGACAACUCUUAUCGGUCGCUGCCCGAGAAAAGAAAGCGAACGAGACAAAAUUUUUUUCUCCAAGCCCCAAGAAAAAAAACAUGUCUCUUAAAUGGUGUCAUAACCUUUAUGAGACCAAAACUAUUAUGUCAAAAAUCACGAUUGGUUUAUCCAGUGACAUUUAUUUUGGUACCAUUCAUUUUUUUGACGUCAUAAGAUUCUUAUGAAUUUCUUUAUGAAACGAUAGUUUGUCCCGGAGUUUCAUUAAUUUUGGUACCACAAGGAUUUUUGACAUCAUAAAGGUCUUAUGAAUCUUUUAUGUCUCGAUAGUUUGUCCGGGACUUAGUAGUUAACCUCCACCAUCAUACUCUAAAUUUUUUAGACUGUCACAUCCUCUAUAGAUUGAGGUACCGUUACAAGCUACCUACAAGACGCUUAACGAGCGUUCGGUACUUUUUAACCCCAAAUUGUGUCGUAUAUAUAACAGAAUCUGUGAGUACUAGACCACUAUCAAAAUUAACGGAACUAGAAACAAAACAUCAUGUCUGUUCUUAUCGAAGUUACUGUCGUAGAGCUUAGUAGUUCAACACACUGAAGGGAGAACUCACCCACAACAUAAAAUCGUCCGGAUAUAAACUUUAUCAACUCUCGGUGAAAACAAUAAAGAUAUACCCACGUGUGGUUUAAUAUGGAAGGCUCUUCUAAUUACACGAGUACUAAAUGGAAGACUUUUUCCCUUGAACACUAGGUAGACGCGCGUUACUCGACCUCCGCCCCCCGUGUUUUCCUGUGAUUCGGUGGGGUCUAACAAUGCUGUGUCACCACGGUGACACACCCGUAGUUGUGCUCCUCAACUACGUUGACGUUGUGUCCCGUCGUCGCCAUACUGCUGAAGUUGUACUCAGGACCACUCUUCUUGCGCCCUCGAUCCUAUAUCUCGGUCUACAACACAUACAUAUUCUUAAAGUAGAUGCGAAUAUAAUAAAACGUCCCAGGAUUACGUAAGUGACAAGAUUAAAGAGGACCUACGUAGCCUUGCGUGACGAUGGUUCACAUUAUGAGAACUUUGCUUGUGUAUAUGAAUCAUAAGACCCUUUAUUUCCUUUGAUACCUUAUUACUCCUGGGACCAGAAGAUACAUUUGAUCUAUGACUAGGAUGUACCUUAAAGAUACAUUUUUAAUGAUUGUAUCACCUCUUCGCGUGGUGAACUACAGGACUCGGAAGCGUGUCGGUCGUUCACGAAACCGAUCCGAACACAACCUACCAUCUUUCAAAACCGAGUCCAACAACAAACAAGUAAACCGUACUGAUGAACAUCCGCCAUAAAAUAACAAUCAAAGUUGUAAUAAAGUUGAGACAACAAAGCCAGACACGAAUAAUAUCAUAAGACCGAUCUAUCACAAGUGUAGCAUCAUGGAUAUGAAGUGUACAUGAGGGAGGCAGGGAACUAAAUCAUGUUGAAAUCAUAUGAAUGUGUACGACUGUACACAACAAUCAGUAAGAAAGGACACAUACUUCCUACUAUCCUAAGAACAUUAUCAAUUCUCAUGGUAAAAGUUUUUAAACCACUUGAUGACAUUUCUACAACGUUAAAACGGUCUAAUAUUGGAG
rnacentral:rRNA from 1 species